rnacentral:lncRNA from 1 species
GUCUACGUCACCAAGUUCAUUCAUGUUUGGAAUGAUUGCGUCAGUUUUCUCCUCGGGUGGUUUAGGAUGCUGGAACAUCCGAUAGAGCAGGUAUUCCCAACCUGGGAGUACGACAAAUAAAAAUGUGAUUCACAUUUUAAAAAUGUUUUUAUUUAUUUUUUAUUAAUGCUUCUCAUUUUCAAACAGUCCAUUUAUAUUUUCCAACGGGACGAUACAUUUGGGAGGACGGUCUUGAACUCUCCGAUGGCCUUGUAAGUCCUGUUGGUGUCCAGCUGCCAAAAGAGGGAAUGAAUGGUCAACAACAUAUCAUAAACACACUCUACUAUUGGAUACUACAGCCAUAGGAGAUGGAACUGAUUGGAUACUACAGCCAUAGGAGAUGGAACUGAUUGGAUACUACAGCCAUAGGGGAUGGAACUGAUUGGUUACUACAGCCAUAGGAGAUGGAACUGAUUGGUUACUACAGCCAUAGGGGAUGGAACUGAUUGGUUACUACAGCCAUAGGGGAUGGAACUGAUUGGAUACUACAGCCAUAGGAGAUGGAACUGAUUGGAUACUACAGCCAUAGGGGAUGGAACUGAUUGGAUACUACAGCCAUAGGAGAUGGAACUGAUUGGUUACUACAGCCAUAGGAGAUGGAACUGAUUGGAUACUACAGCCAUAGGAGAUGGAACUGAUUGGUUACUACAGCCAUAGGGGAUGGAACUGAUUGGAUACUACAGCCAUAGGGGAUGGAACUGAUUGGAUACUACAGCCAUAGGAGAUGGAACUGAUUGGAUACUACAGCCAUAGGAGAUGGAACUGAUUGGUUACUACAGCCAUAGGAGAUGGAACUGAUUGGUUACUACAGCCAUAGGAGAUGGAACUGAUUGGAUACUACAGCCAUAGGGGAUGGAACUGAUUGGAUACUACAGCCAUAGGGGAUGGAACUGAUUGGAUACUACAGCCAUAGGAGAUGGAACUGAUUGGUUACUACAGCCAUAGGGGAUGGAACUGAUUGGAUACUACAACCAUAGGAGAUGGAACUGAUUGGAUACUACAACCAUAGGGGAUGGAACUGAUUGGAUACUACAGCCAUAGGAGAUGGAACUGAUUGGAUACUACAGCCAUAGGGGAUGGAACUGAUUGGAUACUACAGCCAUAGGGGAUGGAACUGAUUGUGAAUGCACACAGGUGCAGAUAAGAGGUCAAGCUCAGGUAAAUGUCAACAGUUGAGGAAUCAUUAAAACAGGUCAAUUAGAUCUAGAGAUUAGUUUUGUUUUGAGCUGUGUGCCUUUGCCAUAAAGCACCAUGUUGAGAUGUGUAAG